rnacentral:misc_RNA from 1 species
GAACGUAUGAAGGGUCUUGCUUAUAUCCCUUUCAAGGGUCGAGUUAAUUUAAAAAAUCCAGAACAUAAGUUCUGGUUAAUGGAAACUGAUGAUUAUGGAGCUAAUAAUGGGUUGCCACCAAUUGUACAAAGAAGAAUCUUCUUUGGUCGGGAGGUUGGUGGUGCAGACAGGAAGCUCUUACCAACUUACCAGUUAAAAAGCCGCACGUAUCUUGGCCCAACAGCUAUGGAUGCUGAAAUUGCUUUCUUAAUGGCCAACCAGGCAUUGGUCUCACCAGGAAAACUCAUCUAUGACCCUUUUGUUGGCACUGGAAGCAUUCUGAUCGCUGCAGCUCACUUUGGAGCAAUGACAAUGGGUGCUGACAUUGAUAUUAGAGUGGUACGUGAUGGACGUGGCCCUGAUUGUAAUGUUUGGAGCAAUUUCAAGCAGUAUGGAUUGCCUAUGCCGAUUGGUCUUUUAAGGGCGGACAAUAAUCUUCCUCCUUGGCGUCCCGGAUUGAAAGAGGUGUUUGAUGCCAUAAUCUGUGACCCUCCUUAUGGGGUUCGUGCUGGGGGCCGCAAGUCUGGUGGCCGAAAAUUGCUGAAGGGAGCUGUAGGCCCUUACACUGUUCCUGAUGACAAGCGAACUGACCACAUACCUUCAACUGCGCCUUACAGCUUAGCUGAGUGCAUGCAUGAUUUACUUGACCUUGCUGCUAGGAUGCUUGUAAUGGGGGGCAGACUUGUGUGCUUUUAUCCUGUACUAAGAGAAGAUGAUACCAUUCAAAUUCAAUUUCCAGAGCACCAAUGUUUUAAAUUGGUUGCUUCUUCUGAACAGAUACUAAGUUCACGUUACAGCCGGGUAUUGUUAACCAUGGUGAAGAUAAGUCCAUAUACAGAUGAAAUUGCUGAAGCUGCUAGAUUAAUGCACUUGGAGUUCAAGGAGAACCAUCUAAAGUGGUUAGAAGAAGGUAACCUUCAUUCUUCUGUUUUCAUGCCUGCAGAUCAAANNNAGAUGAUUCCAAGGCAUUUAAAGAACUGAAACCAAAGUAUAGAGGUAAGUAUGUGUAGUCCUAACUGCAUUUGUAGGCAAUUUUGCUAGGGCAUUAAUAUUGAGUAUUUCAUUUUGAUCACCAAUGUAUUUUUUUUUUCUUCCAAUUAUAGGAGCUAUUUCUAGCUCAGUGCAAUAGUAUAAUUAUCGGACUUACAACCAGAAGGAUGUAGAAUUGAAUUUUGAGACUAGCCAGUUAAAUGCAAAAUUGUUGCAGGAUAGGAUGUAUCCAAAUCUACUCUCCUAAAUAAAUGCCUUACUCCUCUCU